rnacentral:rRNA from 1 species
ACUCAGAUGAACGCGGGCGGCGUGCCUAAUACAUGCAAGUCGAGCGAACAGACGAGGAGCUUGCUCCUCUGACGUAGCGGCGGACGGGUGAGUAACACGUGGAUAACCUACCUAUAAGACUGGGAUAACUUCGGGAAACCGGAGCUAAUACCGGAUAAUAUAUUGAACCGCAUGGUUCAAUAGUGAAAGACGGUUUUGCUGUCACUUAUAGAUGGAUCCGCGCCGCAUUAGCUAGUUGGUAAGGUAACGGCUUACCAAGGCAACGAUGCGUAGCCGACCUGAGAGGGUGAUCGGCCACACUGGAACUGAGACACGGUCCAGACUCCUACGGGAGGCAGCAGUAGGGAAUCUUCCGCAAUGGGCGAAAGCCUGACGGAGCAACGCCGCGUGAGUGAUGAAGGUCUUCGGAUCGUAAAACUCUGUUAUUAGGGAAGAACAAAUGUGUAAGUAACUAUGCACGUCUUGACGGUACCUAAUCAGAAAGCCACGGCUAACUACGUGCCAGCAGCCGCGGUAAUACGUAGGUGGCAAGCGUUAUCCGGAAUUAUUGGGCGUAAAGCGCGCGUAGGCGGUUUUUUAAGUCUGAUGUGAAAGCCCACGGCUCAACCGUGGAGGGUCAUUGGAAACUGGAAAACUUGAGUGCAGAAGAGGAAAGUGGAAUUCCAUGUGUAGCGGUGAAAUGCGCAGAGAUAUGGAGGAACACCAGUGGCGAAGGCGACUUUCUGGUCUGUAACUGACGCUGAUGUGCGAAAGCGUGGGGAUCAAACAGGAUUAGAUACCCUGGUAGUCCACGCCGUAAACGAUGAGUGCUAAGUGUUAGGGGGUUUCCGCCCCUUAGUGCUGCAGCUAACGCAUUAAGCACUCCGCCUGGAGACACCACCUUGG